rnacentral:rRNA from 1 species
GACGAACGCUGGCGGCGUGCUUAACACAUGCAAGUCGAGCGGUAAGGCCCUUUCGGGGGUACACGAGCGGCGAACGGGUGAGUAACACGUGGGUGACCUGCCCUCAGCUCUGGGAUAAGCCUGGGAAACUGGGUCUAAUACCGGAUAUGACUUCGCAUCGCAUGGUGUGGGGUGGAAAGUUUUUCGGCUGGGGAUGGGCCCGCGGCCUAUCAGCUUGUUGGUGGGGUGAUGGCCUACCAAGGCGACGACGGGUAGCCGGCCUGAGAGGGCGACCGGCCACACUGGACUGAGACACGGCCCAGACUCCUACGGGAGGCAGCAGUGGGGAAUAUUGCGCAAUGGGCGGAAGCCUGACGCAGCGACGCCGCGUGGGGAUGACGGCC